CCGGUCUGAAAGAAGGAGAAAAGGGCCAUCAUUGGAGGGGCUUUCACUGCCAAAUUGUGGACCAGCCCGGCAAGGUCAAAGGUUUGAGACCGCGGGAGACCAAGGUAAUGAUGAUGUCAUGAGAAAUCUCAAGUACAUGGUUAUUGAUAUGCAUCAGUGAUCAGCCAACUGCCCCAAGCCUGCUGCCGGGAGUAGCGGAGGCUGCGGCGGCAGCUGCAGCAGAGGUGGCGGCGGCGACGCAGCAGCAGCAGCAGCAGCUUUGCAGCGAGCCCUAUUUUCCCAAUCAACAUUUCAUCCACUAGCACUACGGACUGUUCCUGGAAAAGCAACCCGCGGCCUUUUACCUCCUCGACGCUAGUGUAGAUCGCUCUAAUAUCCAAAGACUGGAGGAAAUCUCUCUCUAAGGACAGAUAAAAGCAUUUCAGCUUGGAAAGAAGAGAGACUUAAGAAACAUUAGGGAUUUGAACCUUGUAACCUGCCAUACAAAAGAGAAGAGAGAGCCCCACCAUGCAAGGAUUUUAAGUCUGGAACAAAGUCUUAUUUUCUAAAUGUUUAAGGGACUGAAUUUCCUGGCCUCUCAGACAAUGGGAAUCCCUGGAUAAAUGUCUAAUCCAUUCGAAAGAUGCAAAUAGUUUACUGUAAGGCCACACGGCACAGUGAGAUGUGCAUUCACAUCUAUGGCUCCUGAUUGGCUCUUUCCUUUAGUAAAUCAAUGAAUAAUGUAAAACCUGAUUGCUGUAAAGUGGUGGAUUUUCAUACCCUUCCCCCACCCCACCCCUACAAUCCAAUAUUAGGAAGUCUUACAUACUCCCGAAAAUAGGUUGGGUUUUUUUUUUCUUAAUGAUUUUUUGAUUCUUACUAUUAUUUUGGACUGGAGGGGUGGAGCCGUGUUGUUUUUGCAAAAUGAAAGUACUACACCCGUCCAAUGAUGACGACUACAGUAGCUCGUUCCUGCCUUUGCCCUAGUUACUGGUGCCAAGGCGGAGAUAGAGGUGGAAGGCAAGUGUGGGCACCAAGAGAGGGAGAAAACGGUCCUUGUGGGCCCAAGGCAGCCACAGCUCUGAACCCCCACCCCCACCCCACGGCCGUGGCCGUGACUUGACAGGGCCUGGGGUCUAACUUCUGAUCAAUUCCACUGAAUUGCCCUGACCCCUUCAGACAGUACUCCAUUCAAGCACCCUCGCCACAUUUGCAAGAGAAAAAAAAAAAAAAAGCCGCAGAUCCUAAUGCAAAAAUACAUGGCUCUCCUUGCCCGGGAUUUUCUGCGGAUAGUCCCUCACCACCGAAAGAAGGUCUUGCCUUCAGUUGAUUUGGGGCUCUCAGCAAAGGAAGAACAGGCUUCGCUCCGAUUCCAAAGGCGUCUGAAGCUGAAUAGCUCCAAGUACCAGUAACUAACCAUGAAGGUUGCAUUUCGGUUAAAGCUAAACUCCGGACAGCCCUGUAAUGUGGUCUCUCCCCUCCAAAAUCCAGAAAGCAGAAAAAGGAGGAAAUUUACCAGAUACUACUACUGUACAAGUUUUUCCCCAGGAUCUAAUCAGACAGUGGCUUCGGUGCCAGGUAACCGAAACUUUGGGGCGAUUCAAAAUAGGCAAAUUAUUCUAAACGAGAACCCAGAAUUCAAGGACGCAAAGCACUAUUGUAUUUAGCACUGCGUCUAAGAGAAGAAAGUCCCGCCACCAACACCAAAAAUUUACAUACAAAAUUUCUUUUCCCUGUGCGAAUUUUUCCUGGCAUCUCUCUGCGUUUAAGGUCAGCCCGGAGGAUAAUUAACAGUCCUGGCUCGGACAACUCACAAGAUCAACAGGUUUGGCAUUGGAGACAUACAAUCAAUUAGCUGAAGCAAAGCCCCGGACUGGCCCUCGGAGCGGCCCUUGCCCGGCUGGGCUCUUGGUGUGGGUACCCGACAACUACCGGCACUGCCGGCCUGGCGCCGCCGGCGGAGCUUGCAGCCUUCACGCAGCCAAGAUACUCACUGGAUGUCCCUGCGCCAGGCAGUGUCGUUCCCCCAAAUCCAGCCGGACCGAAACCGAGCCUCCAGGCAGAAGACAAGAUCCAGUCACAGCAGAACGUGGCCACAGCACACAAACAGGUUCCUUUAGGCGUCUCCAAAAAAGAAGAGAAAAAAAAAUUUUUUUUUUUUCAGAUCAGUCUUCUCUUAGUACAUUUAAAACUGCCGCUCAAUUCCA